rnacentral:rRNA from 1 species
GUUAAGCGACUAAGCGUACACGGUGGAUGCCCUGGCAGUCAGAGGCGAUGAAGGACGUGCUAAUCUGCGAUAAGCGUCGGUAAGGUGAUAUGAACCGUUAUAACCGGCGAUUUCCGAAUGGGGAAACCCAGUGUGUUUCGACACACUAUCAUUAACUGAAUCCAUAGGUUAAUGAGGCGAACCGGGGGAACUGAAACAUCUAAGUACCCCGAGGAAAAGAAAUCAACCGAGAUUCCCCCAGUAGCGGCGAGCGAACGGGGAGGAGCCCAGAGCCUGAAUCAGUGUGUGUGUUAGUGGAAGCGUCUGGAAAGGCGCGCGAUACAGGGUGACAGCCCCGUACACAAAAAUGCACAUGCUGUGAGCUCGAUGAGUAGGGCGGGACACGUGGUAUCCUGUCUGAAUAUGGGGGGACCAUCCUCCAAGGCUAAAUACUCCUGACUGACCGAUAGUGAACCAGUACCGUGAGGGAAAGGCGAAAAGAACCCCGGCGAGGGGAGUGAAAAAGAACCUGAAACCGUGUACGUACAAGCAGUGGGAGCACGCUUAGGCGUGUGACUGCGUACCUUUUGUAUAAUGGGUCAGCGACUUAUAUUCUGUAGCAAGGUUAACCGAAUAGGGGAGCCGAAGGGAAACCGAGUCUUAACUGGGCGUUAAGUUGCAGGGUAUAGACCCGAAACCCGGUGAUCUAGCCAUGGGCAGGUUGAAGGUUGGGUAACACUAACUGGAGGACCGAACCGACUAAUGUUGAAAAAUUAGCGGAUGACUUGUGGCUGGGGGUGAAAGGCCAAUCAAACCGGGAGAUAGCUGGUUCUCCCCGAAAGCUAUUUAGGUAGCGCCUCGUGAAUUCAUCUCCGGGGGUAGAGCACUGUUUCGGCAAGGGGGUCAUCCCGACUUACCAACCCGAUGCAAACUGCGAAUACCGGAGAAUGUUAUCACGGGAGACACACGGCGGGUGCUAACGUCCGUCGUGAAGAGGGAAACAACCCAGACCGCCAGCUAAGGUCCCAAAGUCAUGGUUAAGUGGGAAACGAUGUGGGAAGGCCCAGACAGCCAGGAUGUUGGCUUAGAAGCAGCCAUCAUUUAAAGAAAGCGUAAUAGCUCACUGGUCGAGUCGGCCUGCGCGGAAGAUGUAACGGGGCUAAACCAUGCACCGAAGCUGCGGCAGCGACGCUUAUGCGUUGUUGGGUAGGGGAGCGUUCUGUAAGCCUGUGAAGGUGUGCUGUGAGGCAUGCUGGAGGUAUCAGAAGUGCGAAUGCUGACAUAAGUAACGAUAAAGCGGGUGAAAAGCCCGCUCGCCGGAAGACCAAGGGUUCCUGUCCAACGUUAAUCGGGGCAGGGUGAGUCGACCCCUAAGGCGAGGCCGAAAGGCGUAGUCGAUGGGAAACAGGUUAAUAUUCCUGUACUUGGUGUUACUGCGAAGGGGGGACGGAGAAGGCUAUGUUGGCCGGGCGACGGUUGUCCCGGUUUAAGCGUGUAGGCUGGUUUUCCAGGCAAAUCCGGAAAAUCAAGGCUGAGGCGUGAUGACGAGGCACUACGGUGCUGAAGCAACAAAUGCCCUGCUUCCAGGAAAAGCCUCUAAGCAUCAGGUAACAUCAAAUCGUACCCCAAACCGACACAGGUGGUCAGGUAGAGAAUACCAAGGCGCUUGAGAGAACUCGGGUGAAGGAACUAGGCAAAAUGGUGCCGUAACUUCGGGAGAAGGCACGCUGAUAUGUAGGUGAAGCGACUUGCUCGUGGAGCUGAAAUCAGUCGAAGAUACCAGCUGGCUGCAACUGUUUAUUAAAAACACAGCACUGUGCAAACACGAAAGUGGACGUAUACGGUGUGACGCCUGCCCGGUGCCGGAAGGUUAAUUGAUGGGGUCAGCGCAAGCGAAGCUCUUGAUCGAAGCCCCGGUAAACGGCGGCCGUAACUAUAACGGUCCUAAGGUAGCGAAAUUCCUUGUCGGGUAAGUUCCGACCUGCACGAAUGGCGUAAUGAUGGCCAGGCUGUCUCCACCCGAGACUCAGUGAAAUUGAACUCGCUGUGAAGAUGCAGUGUACCCGCGGCAAGACGGAAAGACCCCGUGAACCUUUACUAUAGCUUGACACUGAACAUUGAGCCUUGAUGUGUAGGAUAGGUGGGAGGCUUUGAAGUGUGGACGCCAGUCUGCAUGGAGCCGACCUUGAAAUACCACCCUUUAAUGUUUGAUGUUCUAACGU